rnacentral:rRNA from 1 species
GACGAACGCUGGCGGCGUGCCUAAUACAUGCAAGUCGAACGCAGUGGGGACGGGUGAGCAACAUGUGGGUAAUCUCCCAUCAGAGGGGAUAACAUUUGGAAACAGGCGCUAAACCGAUAUUGAUGGAUGAACCCGUGGUGCAUUAGCCAGUUGGUGAGGUAACGGCUCACCAAGGCCACGAUGCAUAGCCGGCCGGGGGGGGUGAUCGGCCAAACUGGAACUGGGACACGGCCCGAACUCCUACGGAGGGCAGCGGUAGGGAAUCUUCGGCAAUGGACGAAAGUCUAACCGAGCAAGGCCGCGUGGGUGAAAAAGGUUUUCGGAUCGUAAGACUCUGUUGUUAGGGAAGCGGUAUCUAACCAGAAAGCCACGGCUAACUACGUGCCAGCAGCCGCGGUAAUAC